rnacentral:lncRNA from 1 species
ACCACAAUAUACAGCUCCUCCUCCACAUGUCCCUCAAUAUUCCGCACCUCCGGCAACUUAUCCAGCUUCUUAUCCACCACCGGCUACGACAUAUCCAUCUCCAUCACCAUAUCCAGCGUAUCCUUCAUCUGCAUACCCUCCUCCACCUUCGGCUUAUACUCCGUCGCAUUCAGCUUACCCUCCACCACCUUCCGCAUACCCUCCACCACCUUCCACAUACCCUCCACCUCCGCCACAUUCAUCGUAUCCCCCAUCUACGUAUCCACAACAAUCACCCUAUUAUCCGCCAGGUAAUUUCAGUUACAUUUUAUAUCUUUCGAUGAUUACACCCUAUUGCAUUUCAAAUAUAGUACUUAA